rnacentral:tRNA from 1 species
GGGGUUGUGGCUCAGGGGUAAAGUGCUUGCUUAGCAUGUAUGAGGCACUGGGUUCCAUCCUCAGCACCACA